AUUGAACGCUGGCGGCAUGCUUUACACAUGCAAGUCGAACGGUAACAGGGAGCUUGCUCCGCUGACGAGUGGCGAACGGGUGAGUAAUGCGUCGGAACGUGCCGAGUAGUGGGGGAUAACGCAUCGAAAGGUGUGCUAAUACCGCAUACGUACUGAGGUAGAAAGUGGGGGACCUUCGGGCCUCACGCUAUUCGAGCGGCCGACGGCUGAUUAGCUAGUUGGUGAGGUAAAGGCUCACCAAGGCGGCGAUCAGUAGCGGGUCUGAGAGGAUGAUCCGCCAAACUGGGAAUGAGAGACGGCCCAGACUCCUACGGGGGGCAGCAGUGGGGAAUUUUGGACAAUGGGCGCAAGCCUGAUCCAGCCAUGCCGCGUGUCUGAAGAAGGCCUUCGGGUUGUAAAGGACUUUUGUCCGGGAGCAAAUGCUGGUGGCUAACAUCCACCGGAGCUGAGAGUACCGGAAGAAUAAGCACCGGCUAACUACGUGCCAGCCGCCGCCGUAAUAC
rnacentral:rRNA from 1 species